rnacentral:antisense_RNA from 1 species
GAUGCCGGGAGGGGCAGAUGUGGAUUCACGUGGCUCUCGGCCCCCAUGGGCUGGUAUUGGGCCUCCUCGGGAGCAGCCUGAGAGUGCUCAUUCUUGGCCAAAUCUUGUGAUUCAUCCUCAAUGCUUCUGGAACCCACAAGCCACCCAGCCUCACUUUCUAAAAAUAUGAUUGAGAAAGCAAGACAGAGUUUGGGACGGAGGUUUCUCCAGCGGAGCAGCGCCCUGGCAUCCUGUGGAACAUAUUGUGAGUGUUCACAGCCGAGGAAGUAAGAUGACCGGGAUGUCAUUUUCAAAGAGGAAAUGGGCCCCACCCCAACAGGGCCACCGAGGGAGAAUCGCAGGAGGCAGCUCCCCCAAAACUGGGAGAAGGUCAGGCCUGGGUUCCCCCAUACCGUCAUGGUCUUGAGUCAGAAACCAGAGAUUUGUAAACAGCAUCAAAAGCCUUCACUUCUUUCUGCAGCCUUAAAGUUUGAACUUUACUUACAUUUCAGACAUGAAAAGUACACCAAGAAAGCCACCAUGGUGAGUUUUAGGCAGAGACCCUCUUGUGAACAAUUCGUCUAUGAUCCAAGAUGGCCAGACAAGAAUCAGGGCCCAAGCUUUUUCUCCCCAGUGUCACGUCCACCCUGCUGUCUCCUCUCCAGCUCAGACCAAAAUUCUCUGGACAUUUUCAUGGCUGAAAACCCCACCAGAACGCUGGCCCUGACAGGACCCUCUCCUCAAGUCCUGAGGACCCGGCUGCGGCCGGCCAGAAUGUAAACUACAGCUCGCGGAAGCAGCAGGCAUGGAGGAAGAGGCAGGAGAGCAAGAGCAGAAGCUGGAAACCUUCAAAGGGAGCUCGAAGAACAAGGCCAGGAGAAGCAGCGGCCAGGCCCCACCGGUUUCCUCCUUUCCCUCCUGAAUCUAGGACGGAGGCCAUUUCAGACGAGAGAGGAAAGAACAACAAAACGAACCGCAGGAGAAGCAGCCGGAGCCAGCAAGGCCCAGCCAGAGACGGCAGAGGAGAGAACCGCAAGCCAGGAGCAAGGAGGAGACGGGCGGACUCCGCUAACCAACCGACGCAGCCUAGCGGAGACGGGCGGACUUCACAAACCGACGCCACCUGGAGAAAGUAAAUAUUUAACUGUCAGAAGGAAAACACUGUUUGAACAGUAGUGGCCUUAGGAAGAAGGCCCUAAUUUUUUGGAACACUGACCGGGGGCCAUUCUUUACCCAGAGCUACUAUGUCCCGCGCAAGGCAACACUGGCUGGAGCCCAGGAGGGCGGGGCAGCUGCAGACCCUCAGGAGCCUGUGCUGGCUCAGGGGGCGUGGGGAGAGUCCAGCGUGCACCAGAAGGAGGGAGGCCACCUCUCCUUGUGGCAUUAGGAGACCAGGGUCUCUGAAAGGGCGGGGACCACGGCCAGGCCAGAACCACCACAUCACCAGGCUGAAGGCUGGUUAACCUGGUGGAAUCAGCUGUCUUCAUGUUCAAACCAGCACAUGGGGCUAUUUUGCUCCAGUCACCUGGUGUGACAUGAGCCACUGAGACUCGAACACCCCUGCUCUGGAGCAAAGAAGAACCCACACCUCUGUCCUGCCUGGCAGCCUCCCCACCACUCGCUGGGGGCACGGGGUCCGUAUCCACUCGCCGGGGGCACGGGGUCCGUAUCCACUCGCCGGGGGCACGGGGUCCGUAUCCUCUCACCGGGGGCACGGGGUCCGUAUCCACUCGCCGGGGGCACGGGGUCCGUAUCCACUCGCUGGGGCGUGGGGUUCAUAUCCUGUCCUCUGUCUCCUCUAAGUGUCCCUUAAACUUAAGGCCAAUCCUAUGAUUUCCCUCUAAAAGCAUUCUUCCGAAUUCUACCCCAAAGAAACCAGUGACAUUUCUCAACAUCAGGCUUCCUAAUCUCUGCAGGCCGCCUGAAGAAAAAGAAGAGAUAUGUGUAUGGCCAUGCCAUUUGCAAAUAGAAGAAAAGCCUUUAACCGCCUCCUACCUUCAGCUGCUUUUGCCAAGCAGAGAAGGUCCAGAAAGCACCUUCAAAGGGGCUGGGAGCUCUGGCCCUGCCCAUCCACACAGCAAACACAGCAACCAGAAAUAACACGUUCACAGGGGCUGGAGGCUCCUGUCCUGCCCAUCCACACAGCAAACACAGCAACCAGAAAUAACACGUUCACAGGCUCCUCCUCCCUACUCCCAACUCAGCUGCAAAAGAGCUCAUAAAAUGAGAAUGGGCUCUAUGUAAGUAAACAGUACUCGAUCUACCAGUUUAUGACAUCAAAGACAUGUAGAGAGAAAAUACAUACACAGGUAAUAAUAACAAUGAUAAUUCUCAUACUAUUUUGUUAGAUUAGAAGCAUUUUUCCUGGACAGAAGCAACAUCACCUGGGGUCCCAGUGGAAAGCAGGGGCCGGGCGUGCUCCCUGUGACCAGGUCAGAGUGCAGAGCCCGCCUGGUGACCUCAUUUCCUUAGGGCAAUUGUACCUUCUGUCUGGAGCCAGGUCCCUCUUAAAGGUAGAAGAGUACAGAAAAUAAUUCACCAGAAGCGGGCAUGGUGCAUCCCCAGGAUGGAUCCUUCACCGCACCCGAGAACCCGCAGGAUGAGGCAGCUCUGCGCAAGCACCUGACCCCCUGCAGAGCUGAGAUGGCUGCUCGGGAACUAUGUCCCCCAGCAAAGCACAGAGCUGAGCCAGCUGCUUGGGGACUAUGUCCCCCAGGAAAGCACGUCUGAGUCUUGGGCUCCAGCUCCUGUGUAUGGGAUGUGAUUUGGAAAUGGUCUCCGAAGAGGGAAGCCAGUUAAAGAUGAGGCCAUCAGAGUGGCUCCUAAUCCAGGGACUGGUGUCCCUAAGAAGGAGACACUGGACAGAGACAGAAGUGCCCAGUGGGAAGGCGAGGCCAGAAUUCCUGAGAACACCUGGUGACCCAGCAGAGGUGGGAGGGAGGCCCCUGUAAGCUGAGGAAUGGCAGGGGUGUCAGGGCCACCAGAGGCUGGAGGAGGCAGGAAGGACCCUCUCUGGAGCCUUCAGAGAUGCACGGCCCCGCUAAGAUCUUGAUCUCAGACCCUGGGGGGUGCAGGGCCUGGAGAGCUUUGCACCGUUCUAAGCCUGCCAGUGUGCGGGGCUCCGUUGCCAAAGCCUUGGGCACUGCACGCACCAUCUCAGACCCUCUGGCCCCACACAGCCAGAGCUCAGCGAUGAGCCAGGCCCUCAGCUCUUCCUCAGGGCCCUCGUUUUCUCUCUCUGCAAGCCUUCUCCUUUCUAAACUGUUGUUGCUAAGUGAGAAAGAGAAGAGAAGGCAUCACGUUGAAUAAUAUCCUCAAGUGAUAAAUCUGCAGUAUCUGCUGAAGGUCCACAGAUAAUGUGUUUAAUUCGACAAACCAGGGACAAGAAUGAUGAAUAAAACACCGCUUGCUGAU